rnacentral:piRNA from 2 species
UCCGUAACAAGAUCUGACUCCCUCUUC